GUGCUCGCUUUGGCAGCACAUAUACUAAAAUUGGAACAAUAGAGAGAAGAUUAGCAUGGCUACUGCUCAAGGAUGACACACAAAUUCGUGAAGCAUUCCAUAUUUUU
ensembl:snRNA Gm23503 predicted gene, 23503